rnacentral:lncRNA from 10 species
GUUACCUUCUCAACAUGGCGAGCUUGCUGGACGUCACGUCGCCUUCGCCUUUUCCGCUGCGGACUCUGCUCACCGACCUCCUCAGUAGAGCCGGCCCUGCUCACUACCGCGCCCACGUGUCCUGUUGUGCUUCAUUCCCACAGGCCGCAUAAGAAGUGGGUGCCGAGGCUCCCUUCCCACUGCCAUUCCACUGGCCCAGAGGAAGCUUCUGUUGUGUUCAGAUGGGCAGGCACUCUUCCUCGAGAAGUUAAGUAGCCGGAAUAUCUAAAUGCCUCUCCUUGGCGAUUACUCGAUGAGCGCCUGUCCUUCCUCCACUCUUCCAGCAGACCUGCCUUUUGGGGCUGAUGGAAAUAUGCAUAUUAGAUUAUCUGCAGAAACUGGCUCAGCACUACAAGGAGCUUGGCCCAGAGAGCUACCUUAGACCCUCCAAUGAAUCUAUUCAAACAGCUGCCUCUGUUACCUUGACUCGUCUCAGAUUUUGUCGACCCGAGACGGGUCCUGGCACUAGGAAUGUAAAACUGUCUAUUAUUUCAGCUUGCUCCAGGCUGCCAACAUGAAGACACUGGAUGCGGAAUCAGGAGGAGAUGUAUACAGCUCAGUCUCCAAAGCCAGGACAAGCCAGCUCCAACACACUACUGGCUGAAUCUCACCAAUCGUUAUAGUUUUGUU